AUGAUGACUUAUAUUCCCAAACUUUGUGUGUGUUAUUUAGGGUCCCCCUGGUCCAGUAGGAGAAAAGGGCCCACCAGGACCCCAGGGCCGUCAAGGAGAUUCUGGGCAUCAGGGAACAGAUGGGCCAUGUGGUCCUCAAGGACUUCAGGGGGUCAGUGGGGUCAUUGGAAAACCAGGAACCCGUGGAAGUAUAGGACCCCCAGGGGACCCUGGGCCAAACGGGCCCCCGGGGAUUCCAGGUCCGCAGGGUGCAAAUGGACUGCCAGGUAUAGAUGGGGAUAAGGGAGAAAAGGGAAUGAUGGGCCCUUCUGGUGAUGACGGGCCUCUCGGACUGGAAGGGCCACAGGUUAGAUUGGCAUGGACCUGCAAAACUAUUUGGUCUUGGUUCAGUACAGAACAACAAACUAAAGCAACUAGAGGACAUGCAUUACAGAGAUUUUACCAUGGUUAUGUGAUAUUUUAAUGAACUAGAAUAAAAUUACUGUUACAUACA
ensembl:lncRNA